GGCGGGGCGGCGGGAGCGGGCUCUCCGGAAGGACCUGGCGAGCGGCGACUGUGCGAGCCCAGCAGUGGAUGGGAUGCUGGUGUGGGCCGGUGCUCUGACUCAAGGUGUCACUGCCUUGUCACCGCCCUGCUCGAGGCUCCCGGCCCGGCGUCCUUCACAGUGGGGACAGGGCUGGGUCCCAGCUGUUCUACCUCCGCUGCCGCUAUUACUUUCGCAACCCGAUCCACAUCACCCUGCACUGGGGAUCUUUAAUCUUCAGGUCCUUUGACCAGGGCUGAUGCAGCUCUAUUCUAGCUGUUGCUCACUUCUUGCCCAGCUGCUGUUUGAUCCUGCUCAGUUCUACCAAGUGAACUCUGACGUCUGAAGUCUCCUACAAAGUCUGGACAUGGAUGAACCUGGAGACCAUCAUUCUCAGCAAACUGACACAAGAACAGAAAAUGAAAUACUGCAUGUUCUCACUCAUAGGUAGGUGUUGAACAAUGAGAACACAUGGACACAGAGAGGGGAGCACUACACAUUGGGGUCUGUUGAGGGAAA